rnacentral:tRNA from 1 species
GCGCCUGUAGCUCAGCUGGAUAGAGCGCCGGACUUCGAAUCCGUAGGCCGCAGGUUCC